rnacentral:tRNA from 1 species
GCCUAGGUAGCUAGGUUGGAUGAGUGUCUGACUUUGGCUCAGGUCAUGAUCUCACGGUUCGUGGGUUCGAGCCCCAUGUUGGGCU